CGUUCAAAACCAAAGAUGUUUGGGAGUUGUUAGUUUUAUAGUGUUUGUUAGUUUAGUAUUAGUUUAUAUUUCAGUUUAGAGAUUUUCCUUAGACAAAGUUUAUAGUUUUCAGUUUGUGUUUACUUAGAGUUUUAUUUUAGUUGAUUGAGAUAAUCAUUAUAGUAUCAGAUUUUAGUUUAUCAGUUAGUUUUAUUUUAUUACCCGUAGCACCUCUUCUCAGGCAAUGCUAGGAGAUGGGGUGUUACAAUACAAGUUAUAUGGUGAGUAUUUUGAGAGCUACAGAUUAAGCAACAAUGAAAACAAGUUGAAAGUCAUAAAAUUGCUUCAGGCAAUGGUUUGAGCACUAAAGGAAAGCUAAGUGGAAGGGCAAAAUUUGAUAGUUUUAUAAGAACUGUUAACGCCACUGAAUUAGGAAAAUUAGAGUUAGAUGUUUAUUUGGAGGAACCCAUUUACAUUUGUAAUGAAGAUGACAAUGUCUUUGAUGUGUUGGAAUGGUGGAGGAUGAAUAAUUUGAGGUUUCCUAUCUUGUCCAAGAUGGUUUGUGAUGUCUUGUCAAUUCCUAUUAUCACAGUUGCUUCAGAAGCAACUUUUAGUGCUAGUGGUCGGGUUAUAGAUCAAUACCAUUUGAAUUUGGGAAUAGACACAGUUCAAAUGUUGCUAUGUGGUGAGGAUUGGUUUAGAGCUUUUUAUGGCAUCAAAAGGAAAAGAGAAGAUAAAGACAUCACUGAGAUUCUUCUGCCAUAGACUUAUUGCUAUAUGAAACAAAACAAGGUUGAUGUUUGGAGCAGGUAGUUUGAAGUCAAAUUGAAA